rnacentral:rRNA from 1 species
UACAGAGGUCUCAAGCGUUGUUCGGAUUCAUUGGGCGUAAAGGGUGCGUAGGCGGCGCGCUAAGUCAGGUGUGAAAUUUCGGAGCUUAACUCCGAAACUGCAUUUGAUACUGGCGUGCUUGAGGACUGGAGAGGAGACUGGAAUUCACGGUGUAGCAGUGAAAUGCGUAGAGAUCGUGAGGAAUACCGGUGGCGAAGGCGGCAUCCUGGACCGACAUUGACGCUGAUGAGCGAAAGCUAGGGGAGCAAACGGG